UGAGGAAUCUUGCGCAAUGGGCGAAAGCCUGACGCAGCGACGCCGCGUGGAGGAUGACGGUCUUAGGAUUGUAAACUCCUGUUAAGUGGGAAGAAAAACCUGUUUUUAAUAGAAACAGGCUAUGACGGUACCAUUAGAGAAAGCACCGGCUAACUUCGUGCCAGCAGCCGCGGUAAUACGAGGGGUGCUAGCGUUAUUCGGAAUUAUUGGGCGUAAAGGGUGCGUAGGUGGCAUGCUAAGUCAACUGUUAAAUUCCUCGGCCUAACCGAGGUUAUGCGGUAGAUACUGGUAAGCUAGAGGGUGGAAGAGAGAAGUGGAAUUCUCGGAGUAGCGGUAAAAUGCGUAGAUCUCGAGAGGAACACCAAUGGCGAAGGCAGCUUCUUGGUCCACACCUGACACUGAGGCACGAAAGCGUGGGGAGCAAACAGG
rnacentral:rRNA from 1 species